CAAGUCGAGCGCGAAUAGGGGCAACCCUUAGUAGAGCGGCGCACGGGUGCGUAACACGUGGAUAAUCUGCCUGGAUGCCUGGGAUAACCAGUCGAAAGAUUGGCUAAUACCGGAUAAGCCCACGGUCUCUUCGGAGACUGAGGGAAAAGGUGGCCUCUGUAUACAAGCUAUCACAACCAGAUGAGUCCGCGGCCCAUCAGCUAGUUGGCGGGGUAAUGGCCCACCAAGGCGACGACGGGUAGCUGGUCUGAGAGGACGAUCAGCCACACUGGAACUGAGACACGGUCCAGACUCCUACGGGAGGCAGCAGUGGGGAAUUUUGCGCAAUGGGCGAAAGCCUGACGCAGCAACGCCGCGUGUGUGAUGAAGGUCUUUGGAUUGUAAAGCACUUUCGACCGGGACGAAACCGUAAAGCCUAAUACGCUUUGCCUUGACGGUACCGGGAGAAGAAGCACCGGCUAACUCUGUGCCAGCAGCCGCGGUAAUACAGAGGGUGCAAGCGUUGUUCGGAAUUAUUGGGCGUAAAGCGCGUGUAGGCGGCUUUGCAAGUCGGGUGUGAAAGCCCUCAGCUCAACUGAGGAAGUGCGCCCGAAA
rnacentral:rRNA from 1 species